rnacentral:rRNA from 1 species
GACGAACCGUGCGUACGUUGUUCGGAAUCACUGGGCUUAAAGGGCGCGUAGGCGGGUGACCAAGUCCGGGGUGAAAUCUUUCGGCUUAACCGGAAAAGUGCCUUGGAUACUGGUCGCCUGGAGGGAGGUAGGGGCAUGUGGAACUUCCGGUGGAGCGGUGAAAUGCGUUGAUAUCGGAAGGAACGCCGGUGGCGAAGGCGGCAUCCUGGACCAACACUGACACUGAGGAGCGAAAGCGUGGGGAGCAAACAGU